UAAUGCAGUGGCUACAGCCUCCUGA
rnacentral:piRNA from 1 species